rnacentral:rRNA from 1 species
UACGUAGGGUGCGAGCGUUAAUCGGAAUUACUGGGCGUAAAGCGUGCGCAGGCGGUUUUGUAAGCCAGUUGUGAAAGCCCCGGGCUCAACCUGGGAAUUGCGGUUGAAACUGGCGAACUAGAAUCUGGCAGAGGGGGGUGGAAUUCCACGUGUAGCAGUGAAAUGCGUAGAGAUGUGGAGGAACACCGAUGGCGAAGGCAGCCCCCUGGGCUAAGAUUGACGCUCAGGCACGAAAGCGUGGGGAGCAAACAGG